AUUGAACGCUGGCGGCAUGCCUUACACAUGCAAGUCGAACGGCAGCACGGGAGCAAUCCUGGUGGCGAGUGGCGAACGGGUGAGUAAUACAUCGGAACGUGCCCAGUCGUGGGGGAUAACUACUCGAAAGAGUGGCUAAUACCGCAUACGACCUGAGGGUGAAAGCGGGGGAUCGCAAGACCUCGCGCGAUUGGAGCGGCCGAUGUCAGAUUAGCUAGUUGGUGGGGUAAAGGCCUACCAAGGCUACGAUCUGUAGUUGGUCUGGGAGGACGACCAGCCGCACGGGGACUGAGACACGGCUCAGACUCCUACGGGAGGCAGCAGUGGGGAAUUUUGGACAAUGGGCGCAAGCCUGAUUCAGCAAUGCCGUGUGCAGGAAGAAGGCCUCCGGGUUGUAAACUGCUUUUGUCAGGGAAGAAAUCCUCUGGGUUAAUACCUCGGGGGGAUGACGGUACCUGAAGAAUAAGCACCGGCUAACUACGUGCCAGCCGCCGCCGUAAUAC
rnacentral:rRNA from 1 species